rnacentral:rRNA from 1 species
GACGAACGCUGGCGGCGUGCCUAACACAUGCAAGUCGAGCGAAUGAAAUUCCUUCGGGAAUGGAUUUAGCGGCGGACGGGUGAGUAACACGUGGGCAACUUGCCUCAUAGAGGGGAAUAGCCUUCCGAAAGGGAGAUUAAUACCGCAUAAGAUUGUAGUAUCGCAUGAUACAGCAAUUAAAGGAGCAAUCCGCUAUGAGAUGGGCCCGCGGCGCAUUAGCUAGUUGGUGAGGUAACGGCUCACCAAGGCGACGAUGCGUAGCCGACCUGAGAGGGUGAUCGGCACAUUGGGACUGAGACACGGCCCAGACUCCUACGGGAGGCAGCAGUGGGGAAUAUUGCACAAUGGGGGAAACCCUGAUGCAGCAACGCCGCGUGAGUGAUGACGGCCUUCGGGUUGUAAAGCUCUGUCUUCAGGGACGAUAAUGACGGUACCUGAGGAGGAAGCCACGGCUAACUACGUGCCAGCCGCCGCAGUAAGAC